UACCCACUAAAAAGGGGGGGGGGGAGCUCAGAGAGCAGUUACAGCACAUACGCCCCCUCUAGUGGUGGUUAAUAGAUUACUCAUAGAUAGUGAUGUACCCUUACCUCUCUGGUAGUUGUUGUUGUUGUUUUCAGUUUUCUCCAUCUUUAUUUAAAAUACUGAACAAAUGCAUAGUUUUCUUUUAAUGGUAAGACUUCUGGUAACAAGCAUGAGCACCAGGUCCACCAAACCUCUUGGAUUCACAACGACGAGGAUCAGCAACCAAAAGGAUCCUAUCGUACUGGAUAAGGAUAUCCAUUAUCUACUUCUUGGAAGCUUCAUCAACAUAUUUCUGGUAAUAAGCCACCAGCGCUUUGGAAAUAGACUGCCGAAUUGUUUGUACUGCAGAGUUCUGGGCUCUAUCAUUUCCAGAGGCCUUCCAUUCACCUUAAUGAGGCCAUUUCCUCUUUUGCAGUGAGCAACUGCGGUAGCAGUUUUCUUCCUGCCGAAGACCUGCACGCUCUGGAGGGGUCCCUUAGCCGGCAUGGAGCCUUGCCAUCAGUGAGAGCGGAAGAGAAAAGCUCUGGUAGUUGGUAGAGCCAAGUACAAGUUAGGCUCAUUCCUGCCUCCCUUGCUCAAGUUGUGAUUGUGGCCAUAUUAUUUUUCUGUUGCAAGGCUGCAUAAGAGCAGUAUCAUUUUAUCUCCUUUUAGGAGACCUUAUUUGAUCAAACCCAGAACACUUCCCAGAUGUAGUGUUAGGCCACACAUAAACUGAGCAGGCACCCUGUUAGAUUUCCCACUGUGCUGCCCAAAGUGCCCACCAGUAUAGCUGCAUCAGAUGCUCGUGGGCAUUGCACAAAUUUAACAUGGUUGCCAUCUAGUGCCAAUCAAAGCCAAAGAGCUUCCUGGCUCCCAUACAAGCAGCACCUGCUAAGGGUGACUCACUGGCACUGUGUAUGCAGAGCCUUUUGACAGCAGCUGAGAUAUCGAGAGAGGCGUAGGUGACACUGGGUGCCCCUAUGGCUUCUGGACAAGCUGUGCCAGGGAGGGGGCACUUAUACAUCACACCCCAGAAAGGACACAAAUUUGUAUAAAAUGUACCCAUGCUGAUUUAUAUUGAGAGAUACAAAUUUAGAAAUAAUAAGCACUUUGAAAUACUUGCUAGAAUUUAAACAGAAGUACAAUACAGCUCAGCAUAGCGUAGGAGACUGUGACCAGAUUACCCGUGUACUUGCUUUGGCCAUAUUUGUAGAAUAAAGCACUAUUAAACCAUUUUAACAGUUAAGGGUUUCACCAGAGAAUAGGAAACCCCUAUUCCCUCCAGAGUGGUUUAACAAUCAAUCUGGCACUCUGGGGAUUGUAGUUCUGUGAGGCGAAUAGGGGCCUCCUAACAAUGCUCAACACCCUCAAUAAACUACAACUCCCAAGAGUGUCUGGGAGGUGGGAACCAUGGCUGUUAAAGUGGUCUAAUAGCAUUUUAAGUAUACGAUGUGGAUGUGGCCUUAGUUUUAAUUUGAAAUUGCUUCAGUCGUGAACCACUCUGAAAUUGCUGUGCAGUGAAGAACAGAUAAUAAAUAUUUUAAAUAAAGAAUAUACCCACUCAGCGAGUGUUUCAAAUGGAAAAGGUGUAUAAGGAGCACCUGUGUUUUUAUCAUUGUUCCCAUGUGCUAAGCCGCUGAAUGAAGCAUAGGGAAGGCUGCAGCUCAGUAGCGGAUCAUCUGCUUUGCAUGCAGAAGUUCUUGUGUUCAAUUUCCAGCAUCUCUGGACAGCAACUGCCAGACGGCGUAGACAAUUCUGUGCUGGAUGGACCAAUGGUCUGACUCAGUAUAAGACAACCUCCUAUGUUCCUAAAGGGCCCUUCCACAAUAUCACAGAAAAUGGCCAUGGCAUAAGAUUGUGGCUUGAUGGACCAAGGACAAGGUUCAUCUAGUCUACUGUUCUGCUUGCAACAACAAACAGCCAGAUACCUCUGCAAGCUUCCCACAUGCUAUAGUCUUCAGCAGGAAGUUCCCAUAUCCUAGCAUUUAUCUUACUUAGCUGCUUGUGUAAAAGAUGUAAUAUCAUGACUGACUGCUCAUAAGAUGUGGUUUAAGGGAAAGGAAGUAGGAAACGGGAAGCUUUUAAAAGACUUGACAUAGCAUUGGAACUGUGGCUACUCUCUCCCACACAUCCUCCACCUCCACUGCAAUUCCCAGAGGAUUUGGCAUCUCCCACAUACAGAGUAUGCCUGUUAUGGAAGACUCCACUUGAAACAGAAAGCAUUGAGCUAGA
rnacentral:lncRNA from 1 species